rnacentral:rRNA from 1 species
CGGGACGGGUGAGUAACGCGUGGGUAACCUGCCUCAUACAGGGGGAUAACAGUUAGAAAUGACUGCUAAUACCGCAUAAGCGCACAAAACCGCAUGGUUUGGUGUGAAAAACUGAGGUGGUAUGAGAUGGACCCGCGUCUGAUUAGCUAGUUGGAGAGGUAACGGCUCACCAAGGCAACGAUCAGUAGCCGACCUGAGAGGGUGACCGGCCACAUUGGGACUGAGACACGGCCCAGACUCCUACGGGAGGCAGCAG